AACACAAAAAGAGAAAACACAACGGCAAAUCAGAAAACACAACACUUUUUGUGUUUUGUUUUCGUAUUUGCCGUUGUGUUUUCUCUUUUUGUGUU